rnacentral:lncRNA from 1 species
AGACAGGAGGCCCUCCAAGCAAAGGAACCACUCAUGUCAAGACAUGGGGCAAAAAGAGGACGUAUUUGGAGAACAGAGAGUAACUGAAGGCUAUCAUUCAAUCAGUGAUAGUCUUCAUGGAGGUCACCGCAUCUUGAGUGCUAAGACUGUCAUCACAGGGUGAGGAGGGGAACUGAGCUCAGAGGGGCAGAACCUCCUGAAAGGGCAGAACGGUUCAAGCGUCCUGCCAAGGUCAGAAGGCGCUGGAUCCAGGGCAAAAAUGAAGACAUAAGGGACCUUAGGUGACAAGGAAGAAGCUCCCAGGCAGCAUGUGGGAUGGACCCAAGGAGAACGUCAGAGAGAAAGAGUUCAGUCUGGUGUCUCCUGAAGCAGGUUAAAAUUAAGCUCGGCAGGCUCGAUGUAAAUGUGCAGACAAAGCAAAGCAGGAAGCCUCCCACACUAAAAAGGGAAGAUAAGAAUCACAGAAGCUGGGAUGGUUUUUAUUGAAGGGCAUUUCAAAGCAAAUACAGACAUCUACAGCAUAUUUGUAAAUCCUCCGUAUGUGUAUGGAAACACACACCUUCACACAUCAAAACUGGAUUUGUUCCUGAGUAACAAAACGUCCUAAGAACAAAAUGAAAGAAAACCAAAUAGCAGAAAAAUACUUCCAAUGUAUACCACAAAGGAUUAUUUAUUAACUCAACACACCAAGAGUUAAGAAAAUAAUGCAACAGGAACAAAGGGCAAAGGAUAUGUACUGGGAAGACCACAGAGAAAGAAAAUGCAAAUGGCUAAUAAUAUAAAAUAUUUCCUAGGUUCAAUAGUAACCAGGGAAAGACAAAAUUACACUUUUGACCUCUUAGACUGGCAGUGACAAAGAUUAUUUGAGUGACCAAGCUUUAGUCAGGCUCUUGGAUCUUCUAGGCCCAUCUGGGCACUUCCUGGUAAAAUACAGUUUUAACAAAAGCCCUGCUAAAUUGGUUUACCGAGAACUCCCACCCUCAAUCGAGUUCCUUAGCCCUUCACCUUUCCUCAGGUGAGGGCUGAUCAUCCUGUCCUGUCUUCAGCAAGAGUGCUCUAACGCUGACGUUUCCUUUUAGUAAUUUUCCAUCCACUGACACCCACUUGUAAUUUAUAGCCAAGGAGCAAGAUACACUGCUCCUUGGCUAUAAGUUAUUUUCCCUGUUACAUUCAGAGUUGAGCCCAAUCCCUCUCCCCGACUACAAAAUCGAUAGCAGUGGUCCCUAUACCUAUUGCAAUGGUCCUAAAUAAAAUCUGC